AGAGUUUGAUCCUGGCUCAGGAUAAACGCUGGCGGCGUGCCUAACACAUGCAAGUCGAACGAUCCCCCAAGGUGGAGUGGCCGAAGGGUGAGUAACACGUGCGAGUCUACCCCGACGGAGGGAACAACCUAUCGAAAGAUGGGCUAAUACCCAAAAGGAUGCGUACUGAUCACAGUCGAAAGGCCUGCCGGGAUGAGCCUGCGGUGCAUCAGCUAGAUGGGGAGGGAAAAGCUUACCAUGGCUACAAAUCGUAAGGGGUCGGAAAAGACGUCCCCCCACCCUGCAACUGAAACACGGGCCAAACCCCUACCGGUGGGAUGCAUGAGGAAUAUUCCUCAAUGGGGGAAACCCUGAACGAACAACGCCCCCUGAAGGAUGAAAGGCCUCCGGUUGGAAACUUCUUUUAAAGGAGAAGAAAAAGGACGGUAUCCCUUGAAUAAGUCACGGCUAACUACGUGCCUCAGCCGCGGUAAUACGGUAAGUGACGAGCGUUAUCCGGAUUUACUGAAUCGUAAAGCGCUUGUAGGUGGUUGCGUAAGUUGGACGUUAAAUCUCUGGUCUCAACUCUCAGAGGCCGUUCAAUACUGCAUGGCUACAGGAUGUCAGAGGAAGGUGGAAUUCCAGGUGUGUGAGUGAAAUGCGUAGAUAUCUGGAGGAACACCCAUGGCGAAUGCAGCCUUCUGGGGCAUUCCUGACACUGAGAAGCUGAAGCUAGGGGAGCAAACAAGAUUAGAAAUCUGAUAGUCCUAUCUGUAAACGAUGAAUGCUAGGUGUUGGCGGCUUUACCCCGUCUGUGUCAA
rnacentral:rRNA from 1 species